rnacentral:rRNA from 1 species
GAUGAACGCUGGCGGCGUGCUUAACACAUGCAAGUCGAACGGAAAGGCUCCUGCUUGCAGGGGUACUCGAGUGGCGAACGGGUGAGUAACACGUGGGUGAUCUGCCCUGCACUUCGGGAUAAGCCUGGGAAACUGGGUCUAAUACCGGAUAGGACGAUGUUUUGGAUGCCAUUGUGGAAAGUUUUUCGGUGUGGGAUGAGCUCGCGGCCUAUCAGCUUGUUGGUGGGGUAAUGGCCUACCAAGGCGUCGACGGGUAGCCGGCCUGAGAGGGUGUACGGCCACAUUGGGACUGAGAUACGGCCCAGACUCCUACGGGAGGCAGCAGUGGGGAAUAUUGCACAAUGGGCGCAAGCCUGAUGCAGCGACGCCGCGUGGGGGAUGACGGCCUUCGGGUUGUAAACUCCUUUCGCUAGGGACGAAGCGCAAGUGACGGUAACUGGAGAAGAAGCACCGGCUAACUACGUG